AACCCAUGAUUUGGCCAUUUCCUCAGCAUCAUCUUGAAUCUCUCCCAUGUCUCACAGAAAGAUUCAUGUACUCCUUGUUUGAACAUAGAGAUUUCAGACUUAGCUU
rnacentral:snoRNA from 1 species